rnacentral:rRNA from 1 species
AGACCCGAAACCCGGUGAUCUAGCCAUGGGCAGGUUGAAGGUUGGGUAACACUAACUGGAGGACCGAACCGACUAAUGUUGAAAAAUUAGCGGAUGACCUGUGGCUGGGGGUGAAAGGCCAAUCAAACCGGGAGAUAGCUGGUUCUCCCCGAAAGCUAUUUAGGUAGCGCCUCGUGAAUUCAUCUCCGGGGGUAGAGCACUGUUUCGGCUAGGGGGCCAUCCCGGCUUACCAACCCGAUGCAAACUGCGAAUACCGGAGAAUGUUAUCACGGGAGACACACGGCGGGUGCUAACGUCCGUCGUGAAGAGGGAAACAACCCAGACCGCCAGCUAAGGUCCCAAAGUCAUGGUUAAGUGGGAAACGAUGUGGGAAGGCCCAGACAGCCAGGAUGUUGGCUUAGAAGCAGCCAUCAUUUAAAGAAAGCGUAAUAGCUCACUGGUCGAGUCGGCCUGCGCGGAAGAUGUAACGGGGCUAAACCAUGCACCGAAGCUGCGGCAGCGAACGUAUCACCCAAGACAACUUUACGGAGUUGACGAUUGACGGAGCGAAGCGACGUCAAAGCGUUCAUUAAAGUCGAGUUGGCUUAGGGAUACGUUCGUUGGGUAGGGGAGCGUUCUGUAAGCCUGUGAAGGUGUGUCGUGAGGCAUGCUGGAGGUAUCAGAAGUGCGAAUGCUGACAUAAGUAACGAUAAAGCGGGUGAAAAGCCCGCUCGCCGGAAGACCAAGGGUUCCUGUCCAACGUU